GAGCUCCUUGGCCCUGCAGGCCCCCUGCCACACGUAUUUGAGGUGUUGCAGGAACCCGGAGGAGAGGACUGCCUCCCAGCUCACAGGAGUUGUGGGGACUGCAAGCACAAAAUCCCCGGAUAGAAGCCAUAGCAUGCAUUAGCCAAGGUGCCAGUUACAGAAUCAAAACGAAGGAAGAGUUAGGAGCUGAGGCAGAAGACUUGGCAUCAGCCAGCCUCUACCUUGUCCAGCUCUCCCCUGGAUGUAACGCCAUGAUCUUUCUUCAUUCCUAAAUUGGGAAUCAUUUCUUCCUAA